AGGAGAGUUUGAUCCUGGCUCAGGACGAACGCUGGCGGCGUGCCUAACACAUGCAAGUCGAGCGGGGACAUUGCGACGGAGACGAAGUACUCGUACGGAGUCAAAGAUGUAAUGUUCUAGCGGCGGACGGGUGAGUAACGCGUGAGCAACCUGUCCCUUACAGGGGGAUAACACAGCGAAAGUUGUACUAAUACCGCAUAAGACCACAGGAUGACAUCGUCCAGGGGUCAAAGGAGCAAUCCGGUAAGGGGUGGGCUCGCGUCCGAUUAGAUAGUUGGUGAGGUAACGGCCCACCAAGUCGACGAUCGGUAGCCGACCUGAGAGGGUGAUCGGCCACAUUGGGACUGAGACACGGCCCAAACUCCUACGGGAGGCAGCAGUGGGGAAUAUUGGGCAAUGGGGGAAACCCUGACCCAGCAACGCCGCGUGAGGGAAGAAGGUUUUCGGAUCGUAAACCUCUGUCCCAGGUGAAGAGGAAGAGACGGUAGCCUGGGAGGAAGCCCCGGCUAACUACGUGCCAGCAGCCGCGGUAAUACGUAGGGGGCGAGCGUUGUCCGGAAUGAUUGGGCGUAAAGGGCGCGUAGGCGGCCCGGUAAGUCUGGAGUGAAAGUCCUGCUUUUAAGGUGGGAAUUGCUUUGGAUACUGUCGGGCUUGAGUGCAGGAGAGGUAAGUGGAAUUCCCAGUGUAGCGGUGAAAUGCGUAGAGAUUGGGAGGAACACCAGUGGCGAAGGCGACUUACUGGACUGUAACUGACGCUGAGGCGCGAAAGUGUGGGGAGCAAACAGGAUUAGAUACCCUGGUAGUCCCCU
rnacentral:rRNA from 1 species